UGGGCAACCUGCCCCAGACUCUGGGAUAACUCCGGGAAACCGGGGCUAAUACCGGAUACUCCGAUCGGACGACAUCGUCUGACCGGGAAAGCUCCGACGGUCUGGGAUGGGCCCGCGGCCUAUCAGCUUGUUGGCGAGGUAACGGCUCACCAAGGCGACGACGGGUAGCUGGUCUGAGAGGACGACCAGCCACACUGGAACUGAGAUACGGUCCAGACUCCUACGGGAG
rnacentral:rRNA from 1 species